GAAUUAAUACAGUGAAUCAGUAAAUUCACCGGCUCAGAACUGAUUCAGUGACAAUUCAUAACUGAGGAAGAUGACGCUCUGCGCGCUGGGAGAGAGGCGGCUCUGGACGCUCUGCACGCUGAGAAAGAGGCGGCUCUGGACGCUCUGCGUGCUGAGAGAGAGGCGGCUCUGGACGCUCUGCGCGCUGAGAGAGAGGCGACUCUGCGUGCUGAGAUCGAUAGGCUCAGGCUGGAAAUUGUGACUAGGAGGACAAGCUCGCGCAGGCCUAGAUGAGACGACUGAUCCUUGAGCAGAAGACGAAGGCGGUGGAAGACCGACACCGAAAAUAAACAAAAUACAGCUGAAGACUGGAAAAACAUCACCUUCCAGUCUCCAGCUGUGUCAGGUUCCUGUUCCUGCCUGACAAGAGCGGAGCCUGAUGUGACGAUCUGCUGAUGGAGCCCAUCCACCUCAAGAUUUGAGGAUAGUUUAAUUUAAUAACCAUGGUGAAAUGUAAACAGCAACCUUGAUGUUAGUUGUUUGUUGCCAUGGUUACAUUCUAACAUCAUAAAAUAUGGUACUUUCGAAUGGUUUCCAACGUUCACUGUGUUUAUACGAGGUUUCUACAAGAAAGUUUGGUUAGCAGAAGUUUGGUUAGCAGUUGAUGCUGUGUGUAAUUAAAGUGUAAUUUUAGCAAUUGUUGGCUCAAAUUUAGCCUAUUACCCAAAAACAUUUAAAAUUCAACUUAGAAGCCAAUACUCACAUCUACCUCUGAGCCCAGUUGGAGAUAGAAAAAAUACACCAGCCGUGAGUGAGAAGAAGCAAGGGUCCAGCUUUAUUGUUCCAUUCCACCACACGAGAUCCACACCGAUGAGAAUUCUCAGAAGUGAUCCCAAUACCCUGAGCUUAAGCUCCAGUAUUUAUACUGUAUUUACACACUAAAUAACCCAGAUGUUUCAAGAAGACUACGAUCUCACUACCAAUAGGGUUAAAAAAGAGCUCAUUUACCUUACUCUUAUGUUCCAGAAAAGGGCUAUUUCACUUACACAUAGAAUUGAAACCAGGGGUUUUAAUUUACACAUAAAAUCAGAACCCAGGCAUUUCUAAUAACCCAGAAAAUAAAAACCCAGAGUUUUGAAUUACACAGAGAAUCAGAAACCAGAGUUUUCAGUUACCUAGGGCAUCAGAAACUUCAUUUUUCAUUUACCUAGGGAAUCGAAACCAGAGAGUUUGAAUAACCCGUAAAAUAGAAAGUGGACAAGACUAAACAAUCUAGAGUGACCUUGGUCUUACUGUUAUCUCGC